rnacentral:rRNA from 1 species
UAAAUACUAAUACCAGAUCGAUAGUGCACAAGUACCGUGAGGGAAAGGUGAAAAGAACUGAGGUGAUCAGAGUGAAAUAGAACCUGAAACCAUUUGCUUACAAUCAUUCAGAGCCCUAUGUAGCAAUACAGGGUGAUGGACUGCCUUUUGCAUAAUGAGCCUGCGAGUUGUGGUGUCUGGCAAGGUUAAGCAAACGCGAAGCCGUAGCGAAAGCGAGUCUGAAUAGGGCGCUUAGUCAGAUGCUGCAGACCCGAAACGAAGUGAUCUAUCCAUGAGCAAGUUGAAGCUAGUGUAAGAACUAGUGGAGGACUGAACCCAUAGGCGUUGAAAAGCCCCGGGAUGACUUGUGGAUAGGGGUGAAAGGCCAAUCAAACUUCGUGAUAGCUGGUUCUCUCCGAAAUAUAUUUAGGUAUAGCGUUGUGUCGUAAUAUAAGGGGGUAGAGCACUGAAUGGGCUAGGGCAUACACCAAUGUACCAAACCCUAUCAAACUCCGAAUACCUUAUAUGUAAUCACAGCAGUCAGGCGGCGAGUGAUAAAAUCCGUCGUCAAGAGGGAAACAACCCAGACUACCAGCUAAGGUCCCUAAAUCUUACUUAAGUGGAAAACGAUGUGAAGUUACUUAAACAACCAGGAGGUUGGCUUAGAAGCAGCCAUCCUUUAAAGAAAGCGUAAUAGCUCACUGGUCUAGUGAUUUUGCGCGGAAAAUAUAACGGGGCUAAAGUAAGUACCGAAGCUGUAGACUUGCGCACAACUUAGAUUAUUUAAGUUUAGAAUAUGAGAAACUAAGUUAUAUGUUUAGUUAUAUUUUUACUGAUUUUUAUAGAGUAAAGAUAGAAAUAAAACUUAGUAAAAUCAGUAAAAAUAUUCUUAGACUAAAGUUAAGUAGUUUAAGUUGUGUGCAAGUGGUAGGAGAGCGUUCUAUUUGCGUCGAAGGUAUACCGGUAAGGAGUGCUGGAGCGAAUAGAAGUGAGCAUGCAGGCAUGAGUAGCGAUAAUUAAUGUGAGAAUCAUUAACGCCGUAAACCCAAGGUUUCCUACGCGAUGCUCGUCAUCGUAGGGUUAGUCGGGUCCUAAGUCGAGUCCGAAAGGGGUAGACGAUGGCAAAUUGGUUAAUAUUCCAAUACCAACAUUAGUGUGCGAUGGAAGGACGCUUAGGGCUAAGGGGGCUAGCGGAUGGAAGUGCUAGUCUAAGGUCGUAGGAGGUUAUACAGGCAAAUCCGUAUAACAAUACUCCGAGAACUGAAAGGCUUUUUGAAGUCUUCGGAUGGAUAGAAGAACCCCUGAUGCCGUCGAGCCAAGAAAAGUUUCUAAGUUUAGCUAAUGUUGCCCGUACCGUAAACCGACACAGGUGGGUGGGAUGAGUAUUCUAAGGCGCGUGGAAGAACUCUCUUUAAGGAACUCUGCAAAAUAGCACCGUAUCUUC